GGGCGCUUGGCUCAGUUGGUUAGAGCGGUAGAUUUACAUUCUACAGGUCAGAGGUUCAAGUCCUCUAGCGCCCACCA
rnacentral:tRNA from 1 species